ensembl:lncRNA
CGGACUCGACUGAGCGACUGAACUGAACGUGAUAUUCAUUCAGUAGUAACUGUACUUUGAGUUUUUAAUUUUGAUCCUUUUCUGAGCUAGUAAUAUGCUGUAUGAGGCUCUCAUGAUGCUGGGCAGCAGCAAGAAGCUCCAGCAAGUUAUCUCAGAUAGCCAGCAUAUCAGAAAGAUCAGGUGUCCAAAUGGGAGAAAACAGAAAAUUUUACAAAGAUCUUGAGAAUUCCAGUUUCCAAGAUGACUGGGAAUGUAAAGGCACAUUUGAGAUGUAUCACGGAAAUCAGAAAGAAAGUUCCAAUCAAGUCGUAAUCACCCAUGAAGAAAUACACAUUUUGAGGCAGCAAACAUCCCGUAACCUGCUUCAUAAAGUUCCACCUGGAAGUAGACCCUACGUGUGUAAUGAACGUAGAAAAGGCCACGGCAGAAGAAAUCUCUUCUUAGUCAUCAGAAAAUUCACGCUGGUGAGAAAUCUUAUGAAUGUCAGCACUGUGGGAAGGCUGUCCAUCACGGUCCCAAUACUCCUCAGCAGAGAACUCAUAGUGGGGAAGAAUCCUAUGAAUGUGAAGAAUGUGGAAAGGCCUUUGGUUCUGUUUCACUCUUUACAAGACCUCAGAGAAUUCAUACUGGUGAGAAACACUGUGACUCUGAGGAUGUGGGAAAACCUCUGUUCGGCUCUCACAACUCAGUGUCCAUCGUAGAACUCAUGUUGGUGAAAAACACUAUCAAUGUACUGAAUAAGGAAAAGCUUUUAGUUACUUAUCGCUGAUUACUAAACAACAGAGAAUUCAUACUGGAGAAAAGCCCCGUGUCUGUAAGGAAUGUGGAAAGGCCUUUAGUGGUACCACACAGCUUAAUGAACACCAAAGAAUGCACAGUGGUGAGAAGUCAUAUAAAUGUAAUGAAUAUGGAAAGGCCUUUGGCCAUCGUUCACAUCUUCCUCAACAUCAGAGGAUCCAAACCGCUGAGAAACCCUAAAAAUGUAAUGAAUGUGGGAAGGCCUUUAGGCAGGGCUCACAGCUUAAACUACGUCAGAUAAUUCACACCGGUGAGAAGCCACAUUCAUAGAAUGCAAG